CAGCCGCCGCGGUAACACAGAGGGUGCGAGCGUUAAUCGGAUUUACUGGGCGUAAAGCGUGCGUAGGCGGCUUUUUAAGUCGGAUGUGAAAUCCCUGAGCUUAACUUAGGAAUUGCAUUCGAUACUGGGAAGCUAGAGUAUGGGAGAGGAUGGUAGAAUUCCAGGUGUAGCGGUGAAAUGCGUAGAGAUCUGGAGGAAUACCGAUGGCGAAGGCAGCCAUCUGGCCUAAUACUGACGCUGAGGUACGAAAGCAUGGGGAGCAAACAGGAUUAGAUACCCCGGUAGUCCCUGUCUCUUAUAC
rnacentral:rRNA from 1 species